UACGUAGGGGGCAAGCGUUGUCCGGAAUCAUUGGGCGUAAAGAGCGUGUAGGCGGCCCGGUAAGUCCGCUGUGAAAGUCCAGGGCUCAACCCUGGGAUGCCGGUGGAUACUGUCGGGCUCGAGUCCGGAAGAGGCGAGUGGAAUUCCCGGUGUAGCGGUGAAAUGCGCAGAUAUCGGGAGGAACACCAAUUGCGAAGGCAGCUCGCUGGGACGUCACUGACGCUGAGACGCGAAAGCGUGGGGAGCAAACAGG
rnacentral:rRNA from 1 species